UUUUUGUUCUUUCUUUCCAGUUACUGGACCAUUCUCUGAAUUGCAAAUAGCUUAUGUAUGCAGAGAGACGUUGCAGGGUCUUGCCUAUUUGCAUACUAAAGGCAAAAUGCAUAGAGAUAUCAAAGGUGCAAAUAUCUUAUUAACAGACCAUGGUGAUGUAAAAUUAGCUGAUUUCGGUGUGGCUGCAAAAAUAACCGCGACCGUUGUGAAGAGAAAGUCUUUCAUCGGCACCCCUUACUGGUCAUCGACAUUCCAUAAUUUUGUCAAAAUAGCGCUAAGAACCCUAAGAAAAGACCAACUGCUGAAAGGCUUCUGACCCCCCAUGCAGUCAUUCGUCACACCAUUAGAUCUACGAACAGGAAUUCCAGAGCCGAGCGCACAGCUUCGGAAAUCAACUUUGACAAGUUACAGUUUGAACCACCUCUGAGGAAAGAAACAGAAGCCUGGGACGAAAUGCCCAAGACAUGAGGAGCUGAGUCUUCCCAGCUAACUUGGAUGCUGCAACCUAACUCUGAAAAAUCAGCCUAUGUUCUGUACUGCUGGGCCACAUCUUCAGCCCCUCUCCCACAAUUCCACUGACAAGCAUGGGCUGUCUGUCAGUUGGUGGCUAUUAGGGGAGGCUCAAGAGGAGUGGCCUUCCUGGAAGCAGGAUGUCACUGAGGGUAAGUUUUGAGCUUUCAAAGGCUAUUUUCAGCUCUCUCCACUUGCUGUUUUGUGGUCCCAGAUGUGCGCUCUCUCAGCUCUCUGCUCCAACCUCUCUGCCUGCUACCUCUGAUUUGCCAACAUGGAUUCUAACCCUCUGGAACCAUAAGCCUAAAGUAAACUCUUUGUUUUCCGAGUUGCCUUGGUCAUGAUGCUUUACCACAGCCAUAGAUAACUAGUGCAGAUCCCUUCCCUGUUUACAUUGUUUUGGAGACGAGAUCUGAGACCGUGUUGGUACAAGUUACUCCUGGCACACUCCAGGAUGGCUUCUGGGCUGUUUGCUAUUUGUGUGAAGUGUUUUCCAUUCCUCAUGCUAGUGUCUUAGAUUUAGCAUCACCUCUAGUUCCCUUUCUGUUGCUGAGAUAAAACACCCUGGCCAAAAGCAACUCGGGGGAGGAAAGGGUUACAGCCCAUCAUCACAUCCGCAGUCAAGAGCAGUGAGAGAAUAAAUACAUGGUCUUUGCUUGCUUACUUGCUCUCUGUUGGCUUUCUCCUCUCUUAUAUGUCUGGGUCUCCCUACCUAGAAAAUGGCAACUGCUCAGACCAUGAGACUCCAUGUCUCUGUAGUCUGAAUGGUGAAGGCCUGGGGGAUUCCUAGAAAGCCACAUUAGAAGGUUGAAGAAGCUGACAUCAGUGAAGGGUGGCUGCUGCCACAGUGGCCCGGCACAGAUGUGCUUGCUAGCAAGGCGUGAAGGAAGGCAAGCAGUGAUGCUUUCCCAUUGGAAUUCUCUAUAUCCGGGCUGCUGUAGAAGGGGAAGCCCACUCUGGGGAAGCAUCUGCCAAGCAGGAUGUCUCUUAGUUGAUCCCAGAUUCAAUCAAGUUGAUAUCAAUGAACUCCAUACUGGAGAACAACCAGACUCCACUGCUUAUGGGUAGAGACGGCUCAAUACAGAGAGUGCUCUGUCUUUCCUUCUUGCCUGCAAGGACUGGAGGCUGUUAAACUAAGAGACCAGCACUGGGGACAUGGCUCGGUUGGUAAAAUGCUUGCCCAGCAUGCCCAAAGCCCUGGGUACCAUUCCCAGCACUACACAAACUAGCUGUGGCGGUGCACACCUCUAAUCCUAGCGCUUGAGAGAUAGAGGCGGGAAGGUCGAACAUUCAAGGUCAACUCUGGCCACCCUGAGUGGCAGGAGACCCUGAAUCAAAAUUAAUAUAAAAAUUAAAAAUGAAGUCAAACAGGACCAAAGAAGUGAGAGUGCAGAGCAGCUAGGCAUGAGCUCCGUGGGCUCUCAUCUUCAGGAUGGAGGGUAAUGGGCUGAGAUGGAGCAGCUGCAAGACUCCCAGGCUGAGCAUGCAAGAAGAAGUCCUGAGAGGCCCUCAUUCUUUGGAUCACCACCCAAUCAAUGAGAUGGCUUCCGCCAACAGCUCAUGAGCCUGUCAAUGAAUGGCCAUUCGUAUCCCUCCUGCGUCCCUCAGCAGUGGAUUUAUGGAGCCAUAGCAAAAAUAAGACCGUGUGAUCCAUGAAUCCCUGAACAUUCUCCUCAGGAGGCAGGGAUGUAUAUCGUAAGAAAACUUUAUUUUCUUCUGAAAAUUGCCAGUGUGAUUCAUGCGGCCUGACACAGCCCA